rnacentral:rRNA from 1 species
CGAGACGACGCUGGCGGCGUGCUUAAAACAUGCAAGUCGAACGGACUUCUCAUGAAGCUUGCGAUUGAGAAGUUAGUGGCGGACGGGUGAGUAACGCGUGGGCAACCUGCCCCUGAGCCCGGGAUAACAGUUCGAAAGGACUGCUAAGACCGGAUAUACUUGCGGGGAAGCAUUUCACUGCAAGGAAAGGGAACGCUCAGGGAUGGGCCCGCGUCCCAUUAGCUAGUUGGUGAGGUAACGGCCCACCAAGGCGACGAUGGGUAGCCGGCCUGAGAGGGUGAACGGCCACACUGGGACUGAGACACGGCCCAGACUCCUACGGGAGGCAGCAGUUGGGAAUCUUCGGCAAUGGGCGCAAGCCUGACCGAGCAACGCCGCGUGAGUGAUGAAGGUUUUCGGAUUGUAAAGCUCUGUCUUCCGGGACGAUAAUGACGGUACCGGAGGAGGAAGCCACGGCUAACUACGUG